GGGGCUGUGGCUCAGAGGUAGAGCCUCGUCUAGCAUGCGUGAGGCACUGGGUUCAAUCCUCAGCACCACA
rnacentral:tRNA from 1 species